UGAGGAAUAUUGGGCAAUGCCCGAAAGGGUGACCCAGCAACGCCGCGUGGAGGAUGAAGGUCGUAAGAUUGUAAACUCCUGUUAGAGGGGAAGAAUAACUAAGUUUGGAGCUUAGUAUGACUGUACCCUCAGAGAAAGCCCCGGCUAACUACGUGCCAGCAGCCGCGGUAAUACGUAGGGGGCAAGCGUUGUCCGGAUUUACUGGGUGUAAAGGGCGCGCAGGCGGGAUAAAAAGUCAGUGGUGAAAUCCUACAGCUUAACUGUAGAACUGCCUUUGAUACUUUUAUUCUUGAGUUCGGGAGAGAGAGACGGAAUUCCAGGUGUGGUGGUGAAAUACGUAGAUAUCUGGAAGAACACCAGUUGCGAAGGCGGUCUCUUGGUCCGACACUGACGCUGAGGCGCGAAAGCGUGGGGAGCAAACA
rnacentral:rRNA from 1 species